rnacentral:rRNA from 1 species
AUGUCUCUUUGCCUUUGGAAGAACACACCUUCUGCUGAAUGGAUGGUGGAUGGCGGGACUUUCCCAGGGUUGUCUGAGUCCCGCCAUCCACCUGCCACCUCUUUUAGGAAUUCAAGGAUGGUUGGUGCAUUGACAAAGAUAGUUCUUCUGGAGUUGUGUUUCCUUGGAGGUGACUGGCAUUGGUCGAGAACCAGCUCUAUGGGUGAGUUUAGAGCAGGCUCUUUUGCGUUGGAGCUUGUAUUAUGGGCGUUUGAGUUAAGAGUGGUGUUUGCUACUCACUGCGUUGUGGCGAGAGCUUGUCCGAAUUUCUUGUAA